CUACCCCAAGCCAACAGCCAGAAUGAUAUCACAACUUUAACCCAACCCCCAAGCCAACAGGUUAAUGAUAUCACAACUUUAACCCUACCCCCAAGCCAACAGCCAGAAUGAUAUCACAACUUUAACCCUACCCCCAAGCCAACAGGUUAAUGAUAUCACAACUUUAACCCUACCCCCAAGCCAACAGCCAGAAUGAUAUCACAACUUUAACCCUACCCCCAAGCCAACAGGUUAAUGAUAUCACAACUUUAACCCAACCCCCAAGCCAACAGGUUAAUGAUAUCACAACUUUAACCCAACCCCCAAGCCAACAGGUUAAUGAUAUCACAACUUUAACCCUACCCCCAAGCCAACAGGUUAAUGAUAUCACAACUUUAACCCAACCCCCAAGCCAACAGCCAGAAUGAUAUCACAACUUUAACCCUACCCCCAAGCCAACAGCCAGAAUGAUAUCACAACUUUAACCCUACCCCCAAGCCAACAGGUUAAUGAUAUCACAACUUUAACCCUACCCCCAAGCCAACAGGUUAAUGAUAUCACAACUUUAACCCUACCCCCAAGCCAACAGGGUAAUGAUAUCACAACUUUAACCCAACCCCCAAGCCAACAGCCAGAAUGAUAUUCACAACUUUAACCCAACCCCCAAGCCAACAGGUUAAUGAUAUCACAACAUUAACCCUACCCCCAAGCCAACAGGUUAAUGAUAUCACAACUUUAACCCUACCCCCAAGCCAACAGGUUAAUGAUAUCACAACUUUAACCCUACCCCCAAGCCAACAGGUUAAUGAUAUCACAACUUUAACCCAACCCCCAAGCCAACAGGUUAAUUAUAACUUUAACCCAACCCCCAAGCCAACAGCCAGGAUGAUAUCACAACUUUAACCCUACCCCCAAGCCAACAGGUUAAUGAUAUCACAACUUUAACCCUACCCCCAAGCCAACAGCCAGGAUGAUAUCACAACUUUAACCCUACCCCCAAGCCAACAGGUUAAUGAUAACUUUAACCCUACCCCCAAGCCAACAGGUUAAU